UCGAGAAUCAUUCGCAAUGGGCGAAAGCCUGACGAUGCGACGCCGUGUGAGCGAUGAAGGCCUUAGGGUCGUAAAGCUCUUUCGCUUGGGAACAAGAGAAGGUGGUUAAUACCCACCUGAUUUGAGGGUACCAGGUAAAGAAGCACCGGCUAACUCCGUGCCAGCAGCUGCGGUAAUACGGAGGGUGCAAGCAUUAAUCGGAUUUAUUGGGCGUAAAGGGCGCGUAGGCGGAAGUAAAAGUCAGAUGUGAAAUCCCAGGGCUCAACCCUGGAACAGCAUUUGAAACUCUAUUUCUAGAGGGUAGGCGGAGAAAACGGAAUUCCACAAGUAGCGGUGAAAUGCGUAGAUAUGUGGAAGAACACCGGUGGCGAAGGCGGUUUUCUAGCUUAUACCUGACGCUGAGGCGCGAAAGCAAGGGGAGCAAACAGGAUUAGAUACCCCCGUAGUCC
rnacentral:rRNA from 1 species